rnacentral:ncRNA from 1 species
AUUCAUAAGAGAUAAAAACACAGUUUCUGUUGGUAGUCAGAACCUAUAUAUAUAUUUCAAAUUUAAUAUAGCAGUAACCUGCCCUCCUGGGGUUGUCCAUUCUCUGUGAAUUUAUA